rnacentral:tRNA from 1 species
GGUGGCUCAGUGGUAGAGUGCUUGCCUUGCAUUCAUGAGGCCCUGGGUUUGAUUCCUAGCACCA